UUUCAAUCAAGGAGACUUUGUGGUGGAGUAUAGAGGGGAGCUCUUUGAUGCAGGUGAAGCUGAACAUAGACGUAAACUGUACCACAAUGCAUGUUCGAUCUUCAUGUUUGAUUUCAUAUGGAAGCGGAAGACAUGGUGGUAGGUUCAGAAUGACUAAUAUGUUUAGAUUUCUAUAGUGAGAAGUCAGGAUUUCUGAAGUAAAGAUCUCAUGUUGCUCUAACUUAUCAACUAUGCAUCGAACAACUAUACUUGUAUUGGAUGUUGGCAUUAGUGUAGUUGCUUACAAAUUAAAGUACAAUUCAAAAGUGUGUCACUAUAUAACUGUUUAGUGCAUGAUGUUUGUAAAUUUGCAGUAUUGAUGGAGCACUUGAAGAUGGGUCAUUUGGGCGACUGGGAAACGAUGAGCACAAGGCACCAAAUUGCAGAAUAAAGUUGAUUGAAGCAGGGUAGCCACAUCUCUGCCUUUUUGCACUGAAGGAAAUUACGGCAGGAACUGAAAUCACUUGACUAUGGUGGGAAAGAAUGGCCCUGGCAUAAAGAGAUUCCCCCUACUGUUACAAGCACUGCUGCUCAAGAGUCUAUUAAAGACCAUUUCCAAGACUAAACCAUGUCAUCCACAGUCUCUAUUGAAGAAGGCGUACCGGAAAUGGACGAAGACGACGUCAGCGGUCACGUGGAUGGAGACGACGACGUUACGUCAGAAGGAGGAGAC
ensembl:lncRNA